UACGUAGGGUGCGAGCGUUAAUCGGAAUUACUGGGCGUAAAGAGUGCGUAGGCGGUUCUCCAAGUCCGUUGUGAAAGCCCCGGGCUCAACCUGGGAAUGGCAGUGGAAACUAGGGACUUGAAUCUGGCAGAGGGAUGGAAUUCCGCGUGUAGCAGUGAAAUGCGUAGAUAUGCGGAGGAACACCGAUGGCGAAGGCAGUCCCUGGACCUGUACUGACGCUCAUGCACGAAAGCGUGGGAGCAAACGAGG
rnacentral:rRNA from 1 species